CAUUCUUCAGAGAGCUAAUCUUCCCAAUGUCUUCUAACAUCAAAUCAAUACAGUGGGCGACACAAGGGGUCCAAUACAAAUGAUCAUAUUUCUCCAUUAGUUUCUCCCCAGUUUUAACGUAGUUGCUCGCAUUAUCUGUACAAAUUUGAACAACAUUUUUGACUCCUAUCCUUUGCAUCGCUUUAUCUAAGGUAGAUGCAAUGUAAUCGGCAGUUUUCGUUUCGGCUGAAGCGUCAAUAGAGUAUAAAUAGAAUGAACCCUUGCUUGAAUUCACUAUAAAGUUGAUAAUUGAUCUUCCCCUCUUAUCCGUCCAGCCAUCAGACAUGAGUGAACAACCAGAUAGACGCCAACAUUUUUC
rnacentral:lncRNA from 1 species